GUGGUGAUGGUGUUGUGCUGAAUGACCUGCUGCUGCGUGCAAGCUGGAGAAGGACUUCCUGCCGGACUGCUCUCUGGACCUGAGGACACAUCGCUGGGGAUGGGCUGCUUUGAGUGAUGUCUUGUGAGUGCUCUGGGCACCUUCGCAGAACCCAGCCGGGCUUCCAUUCGGCAAAUGACUUCAUAUCUAUUAACCUGAGAUGUAGGAAGUGCAAAGCAGGUACUGAGGGAAGAGAGCAUGCCGGGAGGGCUAAAUCAAGCCCGGUGAGGUCAAGAAAAGGGGGACUUGUGAGGGCAAAGAGAAAAUGUGAUGAAAACCACCGAAACCAAAGUCAGCUGGGUUAGGUUCCAGCUCACCUGCAACCCUAAUGAGGUCAAGAAAAUGGAUGCGUGGAUGGAUGGAUAAUAUAGUUAUCACAAGGCUUUAUUAGU